AGAAAGUGUGCGCUGAUCGAGUAAUUGCUUUGAACUCUGUCUCCGAUUCGUUAUACUGAUUUACAUCUUGAAAGUAGCUUCGCCACAUCACGGUCCCUUUUAGGUUAGGAUUAUGCUGGAAAACUGUCAAAUGAAGAAUCAUAAAGUUGCGAUACUGCAAUUUUUUUAUUUUCUCAUGCUCAUUCCUCGAUUGAACACAAAAGAUGCUUGUUAAGUGUGGGAAAUGAUUCCAGAGGACCACCAA